rnacentral:rRNA from 1 species
AGGCAGCAGUUAGGAAUAUUCCGCAAUGGACGAAAGUCUGACGGAGCGACGCCGCGUGGAUGAAGAAGGCCGAAAGGUUGUAAAGUUCUUUUGUUGGGGAAGAAUAACCAUGGGAGGGAAUGCCCGUGGGAUGACAUGAACCGACGAAUAAGCCCCGGCUAACUACGUGCCAGCAGCCGCGGUAACACGUAGGGGGCGAGCGUUGUUCGGAAUUACUGGGCGUAAAGGGCAUGUAGGCGGUCUUGUAAGCUUGGCGUGAAAGACCACGGCUCAACCGUGGGAUUGCGUUGAGAACUGCGAGGCUUGAGUGACGGAGAGGGAGCUAGAAUUCCUGGUGUAGGGGUGGAAUCUGUAGAGAUCAGGAAGAAUACCAAUGGCGAAGGCAAGCUCCUGGCCGAUGACUGACGCUGAGGUGCGAAAGUGUGGGGAUCAAACAGGAUUAGAUACCCCGGUAG